GAGCGCCCCGCAAGGGGAGCGGCAGACGGGAGAGUAACACGUGGGAACGUACCCUUCGGUUCGGAACAACCCAGGGAAACUUGGGCUAAUACCGGAUACGUCCGAAAGGAGAAAGAUUCAUCGCCGAAGGAUCGGCCCGCGUCUGAUUAGCUUGUUGGUGAGGUAACGGCUCACCAAGGCGACGAUCAGUAGCUGGUCUGAGAGGAUGAUCAGCCUCACUGGGACUGAGACACGGCCCAGACUCCUACGGGAGGCAGCAGUGGGGAAUAUUGGACAAUGGGCGCAAGCCUGAUCCAGCCAUGCCGCGUGGGUGAUGAAGGCCCUAGGGUUGUAAAGCCCUUUCGGCGGGGAAGAUAAUGACGGUACCCGCAGAAGAAGCCCCGGCUAACUUCGUG
rnacentral:rRNA from 1 species